rnacentral:rRNA from 1 species
GAUGAACGCUGGCGGCGUGCCUAAUACAUGCAAGUCGAGCGAACAGACGAGGAGCUUGCUCCUCUGACGUUAGCGGCGGACGGGUGAGUAACACGUGGAUAACCUACCUAUAAGACUGGGAUAACUUCGGGAAACCGGAGCUAAUACCGGAUAAUAUAUUGAACCGCAUGGUUCGAUAGUGAAAGACGGUUUUGCUGUCACUUAUAGAUGGAUCCGCGCCGCAUUAGCUAGUUGGUAAGGUAACGGCUUACCAAGGCAACGAUGCGUAGCCGACCUGAGAGGGUGAUAGGCCACACUGGAACUGAGACACGGUCAAGACUCCUAAGGGAGGCAGCAGUAGGGAAUCGGCCGCAAUGGGCGAAAGCUUGACGGAGCAACGGCGCGUGAGUGAUGAAGGUCUUCGGAGCGUAAAACUCUGUUAUUAGGGAAGAACAAAUGUGUAAGUAACUAUGCACGUCUUGACGGUAACUAAUCAGAAAGCCACGGCUAACUACGUG